CACUCAGGCUCCGCCUGGCACGAGGGGGACCCCCAGCCCUGCGGCAGCCUCCCCUCUGUGACCCCACGCAGAACCCUCCUCCUUCCUCAGCCCCAGGGUCCCUACCUCCUGAGAAUGGGUGGGAAAGAGGGGAGACUGGGCCUGGCUGCUCUGGGUGCCAGCCCAUUGGUCCUGAGGGCUGCCUGAGGGUCCAGGAGCGCUGCCCACAUUUCCAGGAGCCCAGUGGGCCGGCGCUGCCAGAGCCAGAUCACACAGGCCAGCAAACACCCAAAACCUCUUCCAGCCAGACCAGGUCAGUGCGGGCAGCCAUGCAUCGGCCGCUGCAGACCAGACCUCCGCCAGGGCUCAGCCCCCCUCUGGCCACUCAGCCCCAGCAGGACAACGUGCUGGGAGUGUCUCAUGAACACCGAGCAGUGAAUUGGGCAUCGCUCCGCCACGCUGGCUGCCUGACUACCUGUGCCACGUGGCUCCUGAAAAUUAUAAAGAAGAGAGGAAAGAACACCCGAGAGCACACCACCAGGCUUUACCAGCGUGAAUAUCGGACCACGUUUGCUUCAGAUGUCUUAAGUCGUUCUUAAAACAUGAGCCACUGUGAGCCACA